AUGCUAUAUGAGCCCCAGGCAUGCUAUCAGAGAGCUCCUUCUGCCUGGGCUGCUCCUUGGGUAGGUAAACAUUAGGAGGAACCGGUCAAAGGUAACAGCGCUUUCUGGAACCGUCAAGUUCUUGUUCGGCAACGUAGUGACUGGUUUGAUCUACUUCACAGAUGGAGAGGCAAGUGGACUGCUCUCUUUGAAAUAAUAAAAUUGAAAACAUAAAGUUUGUCAAAGAUGGCAGUGCAUGUUUGCAGUCUGUUUAUUGCUUUUGCCAGUGGUAGAUAACAUUUAUAAGGAAUCGGUGAAAGGAAAGAGCGCCUUCUGGAACUGUGAAGCUCUGUGUUGGCAACUCGGUGACUGGCUGGACCUACUGUCCAUCUCCAGAGGGAAGCGGACUGCUAUUUUGAAAUUAAAAAAUACUAAUAAAAAAAAAAAA